rnacentral:lncRNA from 1 species
UAGGAAACGCCUUCUCUCAACAUCUAACAGUAGUGACCAAAAAAAGCCAGACAGAGGAACUUGAACGUGUUACAUCAUUGCAGAAUGGCCUUCAGUUAGCAGCUGUUAUUCGUGCAAAUGGAAGAAGGUAUAGAUUUACAUAUGUAAAGAUACUGCCUAUCAGCCCUCAGCACGACUCACUGUCUUAUCUGAGAAAUAUUUUACCUGCUUUGACCUUCAAAAUCCUAGCAAAGGAUUUUUUUUCCUAUACUGGGAAAGGUGACUUUUCAUUAUAAAUUGCAACUACAUAUUGUAUUAAAGACCAUGUCAAAACUGAUCUCUUC